rnacentral:rRNA from 1 species
GUGGGGAAUAUUGGGCAAUGGGGGAAACCCUGACCCAGCAACGCCGCGUGAAGGAAGAAGGCCUUCGGGUUGUAAACUUCUUUUACCAGGGACGAAGGACGUGACGGUACCUGGAGAAAAAGCAACGGCUAACUACGUGCCAGCAGCCGCGGUAAUACGUAGGUUGCAAGCGUUGUCCGGAUUUACUGGGUGUAAAGGGCGUGUAGGCGGAGAUGCAAGUUGGGAGUGAAAUCCAUGGGCUCAACCCAUGAACUGCUCUCAAAACUGUAUCCCUUGAGUAUCGGAGAGGCAAGCGGAAUUCCUAGUGUAGCGGUGAAAUGCGUAGAUAUUAGGAGGAACACCAGUGGCGAAGGCGGCUUGCUGGACGACAACUGACGCUGAGGCGCGAAAGCGUGGGGAGCAAACAGGAUUAGAAACCCUAGUAGUCC